rnacentral:rRNA from 1 species
UGCAAGCCUGACGGAGCAAGACCGCGUGGGGGAGGAAAGCCUUUGGGUUGUAAACCCCUUUUCUCAGGGAAGAAGAAAGUGACGGUACCUGAGGAAUCAGCCUCGGCUAACUCCGUGCCAGCAGCCGCGGCAAUACGGAGGAGGCAAGCGUUAUCCGGAAUAAUUGGGCGUAAAGCGUUCGUAGGUGGUUCUGUAAGUCUGCUGUUAAAGCGUGUAGCUCAACUACAUAUAGGCAGUGGAAACUACAAAACUUGAGUGCGUUCGGGGUAGAGGGAAUUCCUGGUGUAGCGGUGAAAUGCGUAGAGAUCAGGAAGAACACCGGUGGCGAAGGCGCUCUACUAGACCGCAACUGACACUGAGGGACGAAAGCUAGGGGAGCG